CCUCCUUUCUACGGAGUACAGCUAUUUAUUAGUACUAUACUUAUAUGACAGACCUCCAAUAAUAAUUUUUCUCCUGGCCUGGGUAGGGUCCCAAUUGAAAACCUAGUUUUGGGGGGCCAAUCCUCCCAAUUGUUCUUUGAAAACUGAAAAGUAAAAAUUUUAAAAUUUACAACGACAUCAAAAAAUAGAUUAAUUUGGGUUAAUCGUUUUGAUUCAUCGAGUAAUCAUAUUAAUUAUAUGAUUCAUUGAAAUGUCUUAAAAUACACAUCAUAACAAUAGGAAAUCUUAAUUUAAUAAAUUACGGACAUACUU
rnacentral:misc_RNA from 1 species